rnacentral:rRNA from 1 species
AGAGUUUGAUCCUUUAUCAGGACGAACGCUGGCGGCGUGCUUAACACAUGCAAGUCGAACGGAAAGGCCCUGCUUUUGUGGGGUGCUCGAGUGGCGAACGGGUGAGUAACACGUGAGUAACCUGCCCUUGACUUUGGGAUAACUUCAGGAAACUGGGGCUAAUACCAGAUAGGAGCUCCUGCUGCAUGGUGGGGGUUGGAAAGUUUCGGCGGUUGGGGAUGGACUCGCGGCUUAUCAGCUUGCUGGUGGGGUAGUGGCUUACCAAGGCUUUGACGGGUAGCCGGCCUGAGAGGGUGACCGGCCACAUUGGGACUGAGAUACGGCCCAGACUCCUACGGGAGGCAGCAGUGGGGAAUAUUGCACAAUGGGCGGAAGCCUGAUGCAGCAACGCCGCGUGCGGGAUGACGGCCUUCGGGUUGUAAACCGCUUUCGCCUGUGACGAAGCGUGAGUGACGGUAAUGGGUAAAGAAGCACCGGCUAACUACGUGCCAGCAGCCGCGGUGAUACGUAGGGUGCGAGCGUUGUCCGGAUUUAUUGGGCGUAAAGGGCUCGUAGGUGGUUGAUCGCGUCGGAAGUGUAAUCUUGGGGCUUAACCCUGAGCGUGCUUUCGAUACGGGUUGACUUGAGGAAGGUAGGGGAGAAUGGAAUUCCUGGUGGAGCGGUGGAAUGCGCAGAUAUCAGGAGGAACACCAGUGGCGAAGGCGGUUCUCUGAGCCUUUCCUGACGCUGAGGAGCGAAAGCGUGGGGAGCGAACAGGCUUAGAUACCCUGGUAGUCCACGCUGUAAACGGUGGGUACUAGGUGUGGGGUCCAUUCCACGGGUUCCGUGCCGUAGCUAACGCUUUAAGUACCCCGCCUGGGGAGUACGGCCGCAAGGCUAAAACUCAAAGGAAUUGACGGGGCCCCGCACAAGCGGCGGAGCAUGCGGAUUAAUUCGAUGCAACGCGUAGAACCUUACCUGGGUUUGACAUGGAUCGGGAGUGCUCAGAGAUGGGUGUGCCUCUUUUGGGGUCGGUUCACAGGUGGUGCAUGGCUGUCGUCAGCUCGUGUCGUGAGAUGUUGGGUUAAGUCCCGCAACGAGCGCAACCCUUGUUCACUGUUGCCAGCACGUUAUGGUGGGGACUCAGUGGAGACCGCCGGGGUCAACUCGGAGGAAGGUGGGGAUGACGUCAAGUCAUCAUGCCCCUUAUGUCCAGGGCUUCACGCAUGCUACAAUGGCUGGUACAGAGAGUGGCGAGCCUGUGAGGGUGAGCGAAUCUCGGAAAGCCGGUCUCAGUUCGGAUUGGGGUCUGCAACUCGACCUCAUGAAGUCGGAGUCGCUAGUAAUCGCAGAUCAGCAACGCUGCGGUGAAUACGUUCCCGGGGCUUGCACUCACCGCCCGUC